rnacentral:rRNA from 1 species
CCUACGGGAGGCAGCAGUGAGGAAUAUUGGUCAAUGGGCGCGAGCCUGAACCAGCCAAGUAGCGUGAAGGAUGACUGCCCUACGGGUUGUAAACUUCUUUUAUAAAGGAAUAAAGUGAGGCACGUGUGCCUUUUUGUAUUUACUUUAUGAAUAAGGAUCGGCCAACUCCGUGCCAGCAGCCGCGGUAAUACGGUGGAUCCGAGCGUUAUCCGGAUCUAUUUGGCUUAAAGGGAGCGUAGAUGGGUGGUUAAGUCAGUUGUGAAAGUUUGCGGCUCAACCAUAAAAUUGCAAUUGAUACUGGCAGCCUUGAGUACAGUUGAGGUAGGCGGAAUUCGUGGUGUAGCAGUGGAAUGCUUAGAUAUCACGAAGAACUCCGAUUGCGAAGGCAGCCUACUAAACUGCCACUGACAUUGAUGCGCGAAAGUGUGGGUAUCAAACAGGAGUAGAUACCCGGGUAGUC